rnacentral:tRNA from 11 species
AUGUGGCCUAGUGGUGUCUCGCCCGGAUGCCACGCCAGAAGUUGCGGGUUCAAUUCCGCUUGCC